GUGCUAUCACUUCUCCCAGAAUAAUAAUACCCAUUAUUCUGUAAACCCCAUGAUUUACAGAAUAAAGGGCACUCCUUCCUCUCCACCCCUAGAAACAGAAACUUGGUUUAUAAACAUCCCUGAGACAAAUCAAUCUGCUUUGUUCUCAGGCACCAGCUCUGCUUCAAAAUUCCUCCAGCUGUAAUUUCUCCUGAGCUCUUUGGAGACAGCAGCCUCUGCUUAUAGAGAGUUUCAGAUGGAGUCAUAAUGGAGUAGGAUGACUUGAUACCCAACAUGAUACCCAAAGAGAAAUCUGUACUCAGACAAGAAGAGCAUCAUAUGAUCAUGAAGGCAGAGAUUGGAAUGAUGCUGCUGCCAGCCACAGGACACCUGGGACCACCAAAAGCUGGAACAGGCCUUGAAAUGAGUAUGGCCAUGCCAACUCCUUGAAUUUGAACUUUUGGCCUUCAGGAUGGUGAGAGGAUGAAUUUCUGUAAUUUUAAGCCAAAUGGCUUCUGGUACUUUGUUACAGUAGCCAUAGGAAAUUAAUAUAUAUUUUCAUAAUAUAUAUGAGCUCCAUAAGAUUCUCUUACCCCUUUGUAAUUAGUACUUUGCAGUGACCCAAGGAUCACCCUGACCUCUAUAUUGGAGUAGAGGGGGAGCCCCCCAAUCUUUCAGCUACUGUUUGUAUUAGCGUUAUUCUUAGUGGUCCAUUCUUACAGAUGAAAAUGACUCAAUAAGAAACUCUAACUAUUCCACGGUCCCAUUCAAUCUUGGUCUCAAUGGUUUUCAACCAUUUGGGUUAAACCUGACUUUGCAAAUAUGGUGAAAAUCCUAAGAAGAAGAAGUCACCUAUCUCCCCACCCACGUUUGGCAAUAUCAGACCCCAUGAGCUCACCUGUGGAGGCUGUCCUAACAAGCUGUGGUCCGUUUGUCCACUGUCUGCCUGAAUACCUACUCAGAUGGGAGAUCUGCACUGAAAGAGGCAACCCAUACCACUCUGCAGAGCUCCCUGUCCUGCAAAGCCACUCCUGCUACCUGACAUCAGGUCCUGGAGGCUUCCACCUACUGCUCCUGAGGUCAUCUUUGUGGACUGAGAUGCAGAACAGAAGGGCAAGGAAGGUUUGAUCCUGUCUGUGAAAUAAGAAUCUAUAGAAACCUGCAUGGAAAUGAAUGACCACCAGGCCCGAGGCCAACUCUCAGAGAGGGAAGCAGUGUUGUGGGAGAGCCCAGAGUUUGGAUUUCCCUGGGUUUGAACAUUAUCAUAUGUCACACCCUGGAUUACUGGUGGCAUUUCUGUGUUUAAACCCCUUUUGUGUCUAUAUUGUAGGAAACCCUAGCACAUAGUAGGUAUCCCAUCCGGAAUGGUUUAGAUCAAAGGGAAAACCCAACAGGAACAAAAGACAGGACCAAGUUCCAGAGGAGAUGGGAAAGAGGAGAAGACAGAAUUUCCAUCUCAAAUAGCACCCUUCCCAGUGAGAUGGUCAUCUUUAAUACGUAGAGCUCGUUUUUAAAAAUUAUAGACAUUAAUUUUUAAAGCAGUUUAAGAUUCUCAAAAAGAAAAUUGAAUAGAAGGUUCAUAAAGGUGCUGUAUGCCCCCUUCCCCCAAGCCAUGCUUGCUGCCCACACCCAUGGCCUUGUCCACUAUGUACGUCCCCACAGGAGUGGGGCCGAGUUACAGGCGUGACCCUACAUGGACACACCUUCAUCACCUGAAGUCUGUGGUUUGCUCAGGAUUCACUCUCGGUGUUGUGCACAAUAUGGGUUUUGAAAAAUGUGCAGACAUCUUCCCACCAUUAUGGUAUCACACAGAGUGGUGUUCCGUCUACUCAUUCUCCUUCCUCACAACCCCUGGCCACCACUGGUCUUUGCACUGAUUCUGUGGUUUUGCUUUCUCAACAAUGUACGGGUGCCAUCAUAUGAAAUGCAGCCUUUUCCCUUUGGCUCCCUUCACUCCGCCCUGUGCCGAGUGAUAUUAGUAAUAAUAUUCCAUGUUCUGUGGUAAAAUUAGAAACCAUUUCCUUACAUGAUGCCUAUCAAAAUAUCUUGUGCACCUUUACCAUGGACCAUUAAAAAAAAAUUCCAUUACCUGGGGUACCACAUGUAUCCAUGAACCUGUUGAAGAAUCUGAUCCCUUUGUUGAGUUAAAUUAAGUCUCUCUCUCAAUACAGCGUCGAGGGCCAGGUGGCCACAUUCCAGAUCCCUUGGAAGUCAACAGGUCCUCCGAUUGGCCUAGGAUUUCAGCAAUGUCCUACAAAGGAGCAGGUCUCUGUCUUGAGAGUCCCAACACCAUGACAUUUAGAGCUUCAAGAAGCAAGUGGAUUUGCUGGGAUUGGCCUGGAAGAUCCCAAGGUGACAUCCCUACAGCUGCCGUCACUCACAAGUCCCAUCCACCCCAAAGGGGGGACCCAUGGGUGCUCUUGGAACAUCUGAUCUCAUAAAGGCAGACCACUCUGCUUCCUUAUCA